AUUGAACGCUGGCGGCAGGCCUAACACAUGCAAGUCGAGCGGAUGAAGGGAGCUUGCUCCUGGAUUCAGCGGCGGACGGGUGAGUAAUGCCUAGGAAUCUGCCUGGUAGUGGGGGAUAACGUCCGGAAACGGGCGCUAAUACCGCAUACGUCCUGAGGGAGAAAGUGGGGGAUCUUCGGACCUCACGCUAUCAGAUGAGCCUAGGUCGGAUUAGCUAGUUGGUGGGGUAAAGGCCUACCAAGGCGACGAUCCGUAACUGGUCUGAGAGGAUGAUCAGUCACACUGGAACUGAGACACGGUCCAGACUCCUACGGGAGGCAGCAGUGGGGAACAUUGGACAGUGGGCGAAAGCCUGAUCCAGCCAUGCCGCGUGUGUGAAGAAGGUCUUCGGAUUGUAAAGAACUUUAAGUGGGGAGGAAGGGCAGUAAGUUAAUACCUUGCUGUUUUGACGUUAACAACAGAAUAAGCACCGGCUAACUUCGUG
rnacentral:rRNA from 1 species